UACGAAGGGUGUGAGCGUUAAUCGGAAUUACUGGGCGUAAAGCGUGCGCAGGCGGUGAUGUAAGACAGGUGUGAAAUCCCCGGGCUUAACCUGGGAACUGCAUUUGUGACUGCAUCGCUGGAGUGCGGCAGAGGGGGAUGGAAUUCCGCGUGUAGCAGUGAAAUGCGUAGAUAUGCGGAGGAACACCGAUGGCGAAGGCAAUCCCCUGGGCCUGCACUGACGCUCAUGCACGAAAGCGUGGGGAGCAAACAGG
rnacentral:rRNA from 1 species